UAAUGUUAUCUUUUGCAACAUUUAUUUAGUGUUGCGAAACUUUUUAUAUUUGCAAUGUUUAUCAAACGUUGUGAAAACCCUUUUCGCAACAUUUUUUAAACGUUGCGAAAGGUUCAACUUUUCGCAGCAUUUAAAAAACAUU
rnacentral:sRNA from 1 species